ensembl:lncRNA
UGUGUGUGUGUGUGUGUGUGUGUGUGUGUGUGUGUGUGUGUGUGUGUGUGUGUGUGUGUAAAGUUUAUACUACAGAAACUGCAGCUGAUUGCUACUGACGGCAUCAUAAUGACUCACUUAUACCAAGAUUUUAUUUGCAUGAAUCUGGUUUAAAGCAAGUUUGCCAUUAUAUUCAAAACUGGAAAACUGCCAGCCAAUUACAUUCGCAGAUGAACACCACAAAUGGGUUUGUAUCAUCAUGUUUGAAAGUGUACUCUGUGUAUGUAAUGUGAGACUGUGGGAAGGAUUUUCAUAAACUUCAAAACUCCACAUUCAGGGUAAAGAAGCUCUAAGGAUUACAUUUAUAUCCAAAUUACUAGUUGGUUGGAUGGGACACCUUUUAACAAAGAGUGUACUCUAGUGUCUAAUUUUUCAAAAGGCAGAGUUUAUAUUGGUAAUGGGUCUCCUUUAACCUUAGUCAUAAUCAUUUCAUAAGCUAACCAGUUAGCUUUUGCUAGUGAAUUAAGUUAGUUAGUGAAGGCAACAUAACGGCCGAUGAACAUAACUCUAAAAAACAGAAAACAAAGUUCAAGGCACCAAGAGCCUCAUUAACAUGCUUCUUAUUUAUGCCAACACCACUACCUUGUUAUGCGCACUUGUGCUCUUUCCAAGAAAAAAAAAAAAGUUGGCUCUCCGAGUCCAUUAUUGCUAAAAAAGACCUUUCAAGUAUGUACAAUGCCAGAGGCAUCCGACAAAAAAAUCAGCAUUUGAUAGCCCGGGAUAAGAAAGUGUUUGACUGCUAACAACACUAACAUAUUAACACAGCAUUAUGAUUAUUGUCAUAAUCGCUAGAGGUGAGUCACUAUGUGAAAUAUUGAUCAGUUUUUACGUAUGUCUAUGGUUGGGGCCUGUACGAAGCAAGGUCAUCAUUCCCAGAAUGUAUUUUCCUUAUGUGGCUUCACUUACCCUAACAUGGUCAAUAAAGCUAAGCAGUCACUUGAAGGUGGCUACAAAUUUGAUGAGUCAACCCCAACAAGUAAGCCAGUCCAAAAAAAUAACAGUGGAAGUGAAUCUGGGGUCCACAGAAGCAAUAUCCAAUGUUCAAAACAAAAUAAGAACAUUCAGAUAAAGGGGUGGUACUGGCAGCAUAUGACCAACCUAAACAUAAACAUGUCUAUUGGCAGAAGAGCUGCUUAUUUUUCUGAGUCAAAGCCAUUAUACACUGAGCGUGUUGCAAAAGAAACACCACCGAAAUUCAGAAUUUUUCUGAUUCAAACUUGUCAUGCACAGUGUGCACACGCUGAAAAUGUUGUGCUUUUGCUGAAAAUGUGUUCUUAAAAACUGCCCUG